AGAAAAAAAAACUCUCUCAAUUUUUUUUUUUUAAAAACAGCAAAAAUGUCUGAGUUAAUUCAACCAAUUAAACGUUUUAGAGAAGAAGAAGAGCAAUUACAAGUACAAACUGAAGAAUAUAAACGUCAUAAAUCAUCAUAUAAUGAUAUCCUCUCAAUCCUCGAAGAGGAAGAGGAGUACGGUAUUGAGUCUGAUCCGGAUAUUAAAUUAUCCGGGUCAGACAUCUUUACCACGCUUCAGCAGGAGCUGGACCUCCUGCCGAGCGAUAACAACAACGGGCUUGGGUCCGAGCCCGUAGAAGAUACGGACUCGGGUAAUUCCCAAAUCCGUUGUAAUAGUAAUUCUACAGAAGAUGAUAGAAGUAGUGUUAUUAGACACCUUCUAGAAGCUUCCGACGAUGAACUUGGAAUACCAAGCGGAGAUGGAAUUAACGGUUCAGAUUUUCCAAUUGUUGAAGAAAAUGGAAUCAACGGUGGAGAUUUUCCGUUUGCUAUAUCAGAUGGAUUAUGGGAACUUGAAGAUGAAGCAGCUAAUUAUUAUUCUUUAUUACAAUCUGAACUUUUUAUGUAGUUUUUUUAAAAAAAAAUUUGGUGGGUAGGAUUAGAUUGGAAGAAAAGGGAAAUGUUUGGGGUGUAAAGUGAAAAAGAAAAAAGAUGAGGGUGAAAAAAGGAAAAAGUUGGGAAGAGGUUUUUUUAGGUACUCUAAUUUUGUCCCCACUCAUCUUUUGUAUAUUCCCAAAAGUACCCCUUUGGAUUAGAAUAUUAGUAAGCAUAAUGUAGAAGGU
rnacentral:misc_RNA from 1 species